rnacentral:lncRNA from 10 species
AAAGCUUCUUCCUGGCUGGUUGGGCUGCUUGCUCUUGAAGCCUUCAGUCUCUAUGCACGCAGCAUGCCUUCCCAGCCUCCUGUGGUUGUAGAGUGUAUAGAAGGCAGUUGGAUCACUAUGGACAGCGGGUAAGAGCUGAGGAAGCAGCCUCCGCCAGGUGGUAACAUGGAGGACCCUGAAGUCCUCUCUCUUUCAGCCACACCCUGAAUUGUACUCUGUUACCUUAGAAGUAGUGCAUUUGAUGGUUGUUUUGAAAAAAUAAAUGAAUGAAGGAGGACCAGUUCAUAUUACCCUUCAAAAAGGCAUAGACCAUUGGCCAUUCUCUGACCAUCUCAAGCCAGAGGUGACUUGAUCUGUCACCCAGCUGUGGCCCAUGAGCAUUAUCUAAGGAGGAACAUUUUUGCUUACGUUUCCAGUGCUCUACAUAAGCCCUAGGCCCUGGGAGGCACUGAAAUGCUCAAUGGGAGCUCCAUGUGUGCAGGCUUAUGGACUGGUAUAUGCAUAGGAGCGAAAUUACUGAAUAACUUACGUGAAACAUUUUGACGAACUGUCAUAUUGUUACCCAAAGUGAUUGCACUGUUUUACAAAUCAUAUUGGCAAGAAAUACUACUUUCAUGGCUCUGGCUAUGAACAUCAGCAUAUAGAGAAUGGAUCACUACCAAAGAAGGCACCCGAAUGUGUCUGUCUCAUCCUGGGGAAACUCAUUCAUCUGUAUAUGUACUCAGCAAGUGUUUCCUGGCACCUGCUCUGGGUCACAGUGCUGGGCACUGGAAGCUGAGAGAUGUGGAAGAAGGCUGGACAUUCAAGAUGAGAAGCCCGAGGCUGGUAAACUAGAGUCCAAGGGCAGAAAGCUGGGACAAUGGCUGGAGGAAGAAAUGAGAGGAUCUCUAUACCCAGGCCUUGGCUUCUAUGUCCCUUCUCGAAGUGGUUGAAGUGCAGAUUUCUGAUUCUGUACCCAGCCUCCAGGGACACAGUACACAGUAUGCUGGGAAUGGCGGUGGGUGUUUGAGGUACAUUACUUCCAGACAAAACAUGGCUGCAGAGGGAUACCAAAAGCAUCUUCUGGUGGCUGAAGCCCUGUCUGCACAAGUGUCUGUGUUCUUCAAUGGUUCAGGCAAGCUCAGACAGACCCUCUGCUUCUCUUAACCUGAGACACUAGUUUCCCCAAGAACUUUGAGCUGAAGGUUCCUUGCUGUGUCCCCUACCUGGCUGUGAGGACUUUGAGUAUAAUUAUCCUAUCUUAUUUGUUGCUGUGCUCCCAGUGUCUUGGAUGGAGCCUGACAUCUAGUCAGUGUUAGUAAAUGUUGAUGUGUAUUGAAUUUUGCAAGGAUCUGCAGCCCUGAGAAGAGGGGAUACUUCUUGGAAACCUCUGUGGGCUAAAUUGAGGGUUAAGGACUGGGACUGGAAGGCAGAGAUUCCAGAGUGAUAACCACAGUAGUUACUAUUUCAUGAGAGCCUCCAUGUGCCAGCCUCUAAGCUAGGCCCAUACCAUGCAUUACCUCUUGUCCCCACUUUACAGAAACUAAGGCUUAGACAAGUUAAGCAACUUGCUAAAGAUCAAACAACUCAAUAUGUGUUGGAGUCAAAUGAACGCAUUUCUUUUCCAUUUCCCUCAUUUACUCCACUAAUGACAGUACUUAAAUUGUAGACUAGGAAUUAAAAUAGCAGAAGCCUGACUUGAGAGGGCAGAGCCCCUGCGUUUGAGUGCCUGAAAGUCAGUCAUGGGUAGAAAGAACAGUCUUGUAGCAGAGCUCUGGGCAAGGGAGGAGCCGUGAGCAGGUGGACAUGAACUCACUGUGACAACUCUCCAACAGUGAAAGCAGGUUCCCAUGGAAUCCAGGGAAAUUACUGAAUAACUUUCAACACAAAAAUGUGUGCUAGUGAGCUGUAGAGCCUUUAUAUCCCCCCAAAACAUAUUAUGGGGGUGGGGGGGGGGCGCGGAAUUCUGAAUUUUUGUUGUUGUUGUUGUUGUUGAGACAGAGUUUUGCUGUUGUUGCCCAGGCUGGAGUGCAAUGGCACAAUCUUGGCUCUCCACAACCUCCGCCUCCUGGAUUCAAGCGAUUCUCCUGCCCCAGCCUCCAGAGUAGGGGCUGGGAUUGUAGACAUGCGCCACCACGCCUGGCUAAUUUUGUAUUUUUAGUAGAGAUAGGGUUUCUGCAUGUUGAUCAGGCUGGUCUCGAACUCCUGACCUCAGGUGAUCCACCCGCCUUGGCCUCCCAAAGUGCUGGGAUUACAGGUGUGUGCCACGGCGCCCGGCCUAAGUAAAUAGUUUGGAAAGCUGCAUCCAAUAGUCUCUUUUGAAGAUUCACAAUGCACCCUAGCUUGUUAACUAUUCCAAGAAGUCCCCGGAAAAGAAUGCUUGUUUGACUUUCUUGAAUCCAGUGUUGCCCAUGUUUAUUUGACUAGUGAGCAGGUUUUUUUGUUUGUUUGUUUGUUUUUUAAGUGACACUUUUUAACACUCUGAGGCAGUAAUAUUGUACUGAACACAUGGGGAAUCUUCUGUGGAAGUUUGGCCUGGAAUACAUCCUCUGUGUUCCUUCUCGCCCCGUGGCUGAGUGAGUGUGCUGUAAAAGCUUAGUGACAGAAAAGCCCCACUUAGCCUAUUUGUGAUGAUUUCCUAAACCGGGCAAAUAACUCAUCUGAAUGGCUGAGGUGAUAAACUCACAGGAGGAGAAGAUGCUGGAGGAAGUGUCAUGUGUCCUGCAUGUAGGUACCACUUCACCUCCCAGCAAGGCGAUGCUGAUAGCAACGUUUUCCUUGGGUGUUGAAUUUUCCAUCCUGCAAUUACGUCUUAAGCCAUAGAUAAAAUUCACAUCCACGUUUCACUCAAGAUAAACCUAACAUCAUAAUAAUACAGAAGAUUAAUUCAUUGGGGAAAAAUAGAAGAAAAUUGGUCUUGGCUUAAAGAGAAGUCAACAUUUAGAAUGUGUAGAAGGGGAUUUCUUCUGGAUCACACUCUGUCCUCAACAGUGGCAUGUGAAAAUGUAUGUGGUUCGCUUUAGUGCAUGCAUGUUUGUGCCUGUCCCACUGACACAUCCACAGUGUGACCCAUAGAGGUCCACUUCUAAGACCCCUAACUCUGAGUCCAACCCACCCUUUUGGGCUCACUGCAGUCAUUUCUCUCUGAAGUCUUCCUUGACAACCUAGGCAUCAUCAGUUUUUCUCUUCUCUGAUCAUCUUAGCAAGUGUAUCCAUAAGCUAUAAUCACAAUCAUGCUGCAUAACAAAACCAAAAACUCAAUGGCCAAUAACAAUGAACAUUUAUUUUUUGUUUUCAUGUCUAGAGGCCAGGUGGGGGGUGGCUGAUCUAAGCUGGGUUUUGCUCUAGGUUAGAUUUAGUCUAGGUUGGCCUCACAUGUCUCUCAUUCUUCAGGUGUCAGGAGGCCACCAUGGGCCUGAUCUUCAGGACAGAUGCCUCUUAAGACUUGGGCUUUGACUCAUACACUGUUACUGCCACCCAUGUCCUGUUGGCCAAAGUCAAUUUCAUUACCAAGCCCAAGAUCUGUGGAGUGGAGAAAUGCAUUUUGAAGGGGAGGGAGUCAAUCUGUAAUGAGCACCAUGAUGUACCAUAGAGCAUUUGUAGUCAUGAGCCUGAUUUAGACACUUGGUGGGGUAUCUCUGUGCUCUUAGGAAUUGUGUCUCUGUGUCUGUCAGAGGUGAUAACAUUGGAGCUGAGCCUUAAAAAAUAAAAGUUUCCUCAAACACCU